GCCCAAGCAACUCCUAUCCCUACCUCCACGAGGUACCGGCCGGAAACUAUGAGCAACCUUAGGGAAGA
rnacentral:ribozyme from 1 species